UACAGAGGGGGCAAGCGUUGUUCGGAAUUACUGGGCGUAAAGGGCGCGUAGGCGGCCUUCUAAGUCGAACGUGAAAUCCCCGGGCUCAACCCGGGAACUGCGUCCGAUACUGGAAGGCUUGAAUCCGGGAGAGGGAUGUGGAAUUCCAGGUGUAGCGGUGAAAUGCGUAGAUAUCUGGAGGAACACCGGUGGCGAAGGCGACAUCCUGGACCGGUAUUGACGCUGAGGCGCGAAAGCCAGGGGGAGCAAACGGG
rnacentral:rRNA from 1 species